GUAAACACAGUGACGGAGAGAGUACAUAUAUUUUGCAUUUUACAGAGAAAUUCCCAUAGGCUGAGAGGAAUGAAUGAGGGUAUAUGGAAAAUGGCUCCUGAGAGGCGCACCGAAGCAAAAUUGCCAAGGCUGCGACAGGGUCCGCCUGUUAUAGCGGCAGGGUAUUAAACAGAUACCCGUUGAGGUUUGUACUGCGAGGUACAGAUAAACAGAAGUGGUAACGUGGGUUAUAGGCUCGCCUUCUUA
rnacentral:ncRNA from 1 species